UAGUGGAGACAAGUUGGCGCGUUCAAGAAUGGGGAGCAUAAAUGAAGAGCAAAUUGAGAAAGUGGUGGAAGUGAUUGGGGAUGAAAGAUUGAUAGAAAUUACCAAUGCUGAGAUGGAAAUUCCUUUUGAAGGUGUAGAGGCGAAUGAUGAAGAAGAGAAUGAGGAAGGGGUGGGGGAGGAGGAGGAUAUCUUGGAAGAAGAGAAUGAUAAUAGUGAUGAAUCUGUUUCUAUGGAAGAGAAAGCAAUUAUAGAGGAAGAAGAAGUGAGUGAGGAGAUGGAGAAUGUAAGAAGGAAAGAGGAGCAAAUAGGGGAUGUUUUGCAAGUCAAAGAGGAGAAAUUAGAGUGAAGCAGAAUGCUAUUGACCCUGAAGGGGUCAAUAGAGAAAGCAUCUGAGCCUAAGAGAAGAAAGAGUGGGAAUGAAGAGCUACUGGGAAUGAAGGUGGACACCAGGACCAAAGGAAGUGAAGAAGUCUGAUAAAGGGAAGUGGAACAUUUUGGGAAGAAAGAGAAGAUUUGUUAAUGUGUCGAUAGCUAGAGGAAAAGUGGACAUUGGUUUCUUGGAAAAGAGCUGUGACUAAGGAGCUUGUAGAGAAGUGCUUGAGAAAUGCAUUGAGGAUGGGCCAGAAAGAUUUAGUUUAACAGAUGAUUGAGUUUAUGAGACGUAGGAGAAUGCAUAGUGAGAAAAAUGGACAGUGACAGCGGGAUGAGGAUAGAUCAUGAAGGUGGUGGAAGGAGAUGUGGGCUGGAGUGAUCAAUGUCUGAUAGAGGAUCCUAAAGGAUGAGGAGCUCGACAAAGGCGAGAGCAGAGAUGAGAAAAUAAAGAAGUGACGGAAAAAACAUGCCACAUCUCGUUCCCUGACCAGGGAUCAAACCCUGGCCCCCUGCAUUGGGACCAUGGAGUCUUAGCCAGUGGACCACCAGAGAAGUCCUGCAGACCUCUGCCUUCCCAAGAUCAACCACUCUGGGCCUCCUCUGGUGAUAUCUGAGUGUAGAGAAACUGUUGCCCCUCUUCUAAGAGGCAUGCACAGGCACCCAGUCAAGACGGACAGUUUUCUGUUACGUGAGUCUCUCAGAUUGCGCUUCACAGUAUAUAAACUGUGAACUAAAUCAUCAGACUUGUUCUUUGGCUGAAUUACAUUUUCUCCUGGAAUAUGAGAUGCAUUCCACUGAGACCGCAGAAAGAAAAAGUGAAGAUCAAGACACCAUGACACCACCUUGUCACCAGAGCUGCCAACGUCUCCCAGAACGUACGCCAAGGGCCCAGGCCUGGCAGCCGCCUCCUCCAUGCCUGGCGAGGCUGUGAUGGAAGAACACUGAACAGGCACUCAGGCACCCGGGUCCCAGAGUGAUCAGGUCUCCCCAGUGAU